AGAUUCCUUGAGAAGCAGCAACUGGUGCUAUUUGGAUGCAGGAACCUGAGGAAGCAAGUGAAAGCGCAAGGCCAAACCACAUGAUAAUGAUAAGUGUUAUAGUCUCCGGAUUGGUGGAAGAUACUUCCCUAAGACCCCCACCUAGGCAGCCUGGACCCCUGGGUACCAGCUUCUGUGCUGUACAGAUGUGCCUGUGGUCAACACUGACCUAUAGAUGGGCCACAGAAAGACAGUGACAAGAACAAGUUAUAGAAUAAUCAGAACAUCACCGUAAUACAAUUAUAUAAAUAUUGUCUCUCAUACUGUAAUAAAGUCAUAGGAACAUUAC
rnacentral:lncRNA from 1 species